GGAGCUCAAAUUUGAAAUCUGGGGCCCUCGGCCUCCGAGUUGUAAUUUGGAGAGGCAUCUUCGGGGGGGAGCGCCGGCCAAUGUUCCUUGGAACAGGACGUCGCAGAGGGUGAGAAUCCCGUGCCAGGCCGGCUGCCUCCUCCCGGGUGAAGGGCCUUCGACGAGUCGAGUUGUUUGGGAAUGCAGCUCCAAGUGGGUGGUAAAUUUCAUCUAAAGCUAAAUACCGGCGGGAGACCGAUA
rnacentral:rRNA from 1 species